rnacentral:rRNA from 1 species
GCUACAGAAACUUCAAAGGAAUUGACGGGGGCCCGGCACAAGCGGCGGAGCAUGUGGAUUAAUUCGAUGCAACGCGAAGAACCUUACCUGGGUUUGACAUACACCGGAAAACCGUAGAGAUACGGUCCCCCUUGUGGUCGGUGUACAGGUGGUGCAUGGCUGUCGUCAGCUCGUGUCGUGAGAUGUUGGGUUAAGUCCCGCAACGAGCGCAACCCUUGUCUUAUGUUGCCAGCACGUGAUGGUGGGGACUCGUAAGAGACUGCCGGGGUCAACUCGGAGGAAGGUGGGGACGACGUCAAGUCAUCAUGCCCCUUAUGUCCAGGGCUUCACACAUGCUACAAUGGCCAGUACAGAGGGCUGCGAGACCGUGAGGUGGAGCGAAUCCCUUAAAGCUGGUCUCAGUUCGGAUCGGGGUCUGCAACUCGACCCCGUGAAGUCGGAGUCGCUAGUAAUCGCAGAUCAGCAACGCUGCGGUGAAUACGUUCCCGGGCCUU